UUAACGGUGAGACUGUAGUCCAGCAGAAUGGCGAGCCCCUGUCUUUAGCCCUCGCCACAGAAUCAACUGAUCCUGAUGUUGUGAUGGUCGAAUCAGACGGAAAACCUGCUGACGCUCAAACUGUUUCUGCAAUCCUUGAAACCAUCAUCCAGAAGGAAGAGGUCAAGGAAAGAAAUGAACAUCAACCAGAUGUAAGUCUUCCUGUCCCCGAUCCACAGCCGGAGACAGCUGACCUAAAGCAAGAAUCAGAAUCACUAACGGAGCCGAAGAGUGAGACUCUAGACGCGGGUCAACCUGAGGAAAACCAAGAGGACAGUAAAGAAGAAGAGAAUCCAGUUAUGAACUUCUUCAAAACACUAGUGACUCCCAAAAUAACCAAGGAAACAGCUACUCCUGAUGCCCCAAAAGAUCAGUCCCAGAAGGAGAACCAACCAGCGGCAACCACUACUGUUGCACAAGUAUCUGAGCCGCCAGCAGCACUCAAAGGAAUGUCUAUCCCCCCACCACCUCCUCCAGAGCCACCGAAAAUGGAAAUUAAGGGAGAAACAGCUGCCAAACCUGUCAAACCCACACCCAAAGAAGAACCCAAAGCUGCUGCAAAGACACCCGAGUCCUCAAAAGGAAAAUCGGCCAGAUCCACUCUGAGCAAUCUCUUCCGUCCAAAGGUGCUGCUAGGUGUCAAGGUGUUCAAAUGCAAGGGCGCUUCAGCAAGUGGAGCCAAAGCCCCGGCCAAGACCGCAGCAGUGAAGGUGGAUCCCUCAAAAACUGGCACUCUGGAAGCUGCCGCAAAGCCAGAACCGCCACCGCCAGUUCAGGAGGAAAAGAAAAAAGCUUCAAAAUCAUCCUUCAUGUCUCUCUUCAAGCCCAAAGCUGUUGAUCCCAAAAGUGCGACCCCUGCCCCAGCUGCUGCAGCAGAGACGGUUAAAGCCAAGGAGGAACCCAAAGCAGCAGCCAAGUCAUCAGAGGCGGUUGUAGAAAACAAGCCUACAGUGGCCUCCCAAGCUGACGACGAUGCCGCCAAUGUGCCCAAGAAACUGGAGAAGAGGAACUCCAUCCAGCUGUUCUUUAAAAUUCUGGGUCAGAAACGUAACUCGACAGAUGCCGGGGUCCAGACAGAGUCCGCCCCUGUUGCUGCAGGAGCUGAGAAGGCCAAAUGAAACCAAAACCCACAGUGAAGUUUCCCUGUAAAAACUCCCUCUAUCUUCUUUGCUCUUACUCAAUCUUCAUAUCUCUCUCUCUCUGUCUCAUUUUCCCUUUCAACCCUUAUUGAAUUCCUUUAACUACAUGUUGUUGUUUGUGUUACUGUUUAGAAGUUACAAUGCGGGAGGAGAAGUGACUUUAAGGGUAAAAGCAAGUUGUGAGAACGUCAAACAGUGGACAGUUGAACAAGUGGUGAUUUGAAAGGGUCAAAGGCGAGGUUGUUGAGAUAUAUAAUAUUUUUGUUGGUCAUAUAAAUGUCUUGACAAGUAUAGAAAUGUGAGAGUGAAACCUUUUCUACAGACAUUUAAUGUGACUUCUCUCCGUUCUUGCGACCUAACUCGCUGGGCUGAAGCAAUAGACCACGCUUUGCUUUGAGCAAAUUAUUUAAAGAAAAAGGUUCUAUUUACAGAAACCAGACAGAAAUCAUACAGUUGUGGCAAAGUAGGUGUUAAUAUGAAAUUACAUUGAAAAAAAAGUACUUAAAUCUAUAUGACAUGAAAAUGACCAGCUGAUAACAGGAGCAUAUUUGUUUAACAAACUUCACUUACAGAUUUUUUUUAACUUUAUGCAAGCUACACGUAGACUAAAGCAUAUACUCACGUAUCCUAACAGUCAUGUAUUGGGCCAUAUGGGAAAAUCACAAUAUUUACUGUUCUGUGGGGAACUGAUUGUAAGUGUAACAGAUGCAUCUGAGGUGGCAAAACAAAAGGUGUAGUCAUAAAUCACAGUCGAUUAGCUUUUAAUUUGAUUACACUUUGUGUCGUGUAUUUUAACGGAAGUCUUAUGGUGUUAGUCAUUUGUGUUUGGCAUACGUGCAAUUAAUAUAAUGCUUUUGUUUGCCUACAUGUAUGUAUGCGUGUGUAUGUGUAACUUCAGCUAUCUUGAAGACAAUAAACAUGUUCACCAUUUGUUUGUUGUUCAUCAGUGAAGAGGAACGAGAAUAACUGGGUGUUGCGACAACUGCAGAAUAUGUGGAUCAGCAAGUUUGGCAAAAAUAAAAUCAUAUGCUACACUUCCAAAUCUUUUUUUGAUGUACACAAGAUAAAGCAUUAUACUUGUGAGCUAAGAGGGAGU
rnacentral:lncRNA from 1 species